ACUUCUGUUUAUUAAACAAAACCAACCGGAAGUUAGGUUGUUGUCGUGACUUUUCUACCAAACUCAUCCAAAGUGCAAUAUUGUUGUGUGAUUUUACUUUAUUCACGUGCUUUAGAUAGAUGACAACACAAAUUACUAUCAAGAUAGAUAAACAGAAGCUAAAUUUUAUUUACAAUUGAAGUAUCCAAAUAUUGUAUGCUUUGUCAUUACAUAAUUCAACCGACUAGAUCUACAACAACCUAUUCUCGGGAACCAGGUUCUGUAACCAACAUCCUACAGACACUUGGCUGGCCAACACUAGCAACACGCAGAUAAGGAGCCAGGCUCAUACUCCUAUAUAAGAUCCUGCAUGGAGAAGUAUCAGUCAUUAUCCCAGAUUACAUCAGGAGACCAACUGUAACAACCAGACAAUACCACAGGCACAGAGACAGGUUUUCCAGAGUCAGCACUUCAACGGAUGCCUAUAAAUACAGUUUCAUCACCAGAACAAAUUUUUGACUGGAACCAAUUACCUGAAAGUGCCAUCCAAGCCCCCACAACAGACGCCUUCCGGGUCUGUGUGUGGCAGUUCCUGGCGUAACUAUUGAUACCUGAUUUUAACCCUGUACAGUUGUUGCAAACUCACAUAGUUUUAUUUGAUUUUGUUCCUGUAAAUACACAAGUUUUUGUUUAUUUUUAACUUGGCAUGUACUGGUUGACACAACCGCACAGUAUAUCUGUGUUAUGGAAAUUUCAACUGCAGAUUAACCACAAAAUAUAGAAGAAGUACAAUAAACACUAGACAACAGGAAUGACAGGAUAUAUCUUCUGGGGGAUGGAUGGUAACUGAAUCAAUACAAAUAGCCUCAAUGAAUUUGAAAAAGCUGCAAAUGAUAUCUGAGUAACAAAAGAUUGUUAGUGUGCAGUGUGCAGACAGUGGUUAAACAGAAGUUAACAUUCUAUUAGUUUUGGGAUUUUACAAUCAUCUAGAGGAAAUAAUAGGAGAAAAAGGGACCUGUGUGGUAAAAACUUCCUAAAAGUCGUCCUUUAUGUGUUCAACUUUUUCUUUUGGCUGACAGCCCGGUUAGCUUUCCUAGCAUUAGGGUUAUAUAUCAAGUUCAAGAAGCAUACCUAUAUCAAUCUGCUAGGGAACAGUACUUUCCCUUUGGCAACAUACUUGCUACUAGGAACAGGAGCCUUUAUUAUCUUGUCAGGAAUCAUUAGUUGUUAACUGGGACAUGUAUAGAAAAUAGAUGUUUUAUGGUUAUGGUUGGAAGAGACUGAUGAACUAUACAUAUCUGGGAUACAGAAUCAAUGAAACAUCGUCAGUACUGAAAGGUCAACAUCAAAGAGGGGUCUGUGCUGUAGACUUCUCAGGUAGUGGUAAAGUUUGGCAUCAUUUGGUUUGGAUGACAACCAUCUUAUUGUAGUUUGAGACUGGAGAAAGGGAGAGAAAUUAACAUCUACCAGUUUAUCAAUAAAAAGAACAAAAUACGAGAACGAUUGACGACCAGAGAAAUGAAGUGGACAGCCAAGGCCGUAACUACCAUUGAGGCAAGUGAGGCAAUUGCAAAAAAUUUCGACACUAAAUUUUUUGUGUGUAUUUGUUUAUGGAAUUAAAUACGAAAUAUAGUCAUUUGUUUUUUCUGUCUCAACCCUAAUUUCUAUAAUUUGACAUCGUUGAUCGUUCCUUUUAAAUUAUUCUUCCCGGUGUCAUAUGGUAUUUUGAACCCCAUGGUAAAUUGACCCCUGGGUCAAAAUACUGCUAUGGUAAAUUGAACCCCCC